rnacentral:lncRNA from 1 species
CACUUGUGUGGGGAUACUAAUACAAGAAUGUGGGUAUCCAUUUAGGAAUGAGUUCACUAAAUUGACUCAUCAGUAGAGAACAUCUUAUAGAACCUUAUUUGCAUGUCAAAAAAUGGUUCUCUAAGUGUGAGUUAUGCAAGUGAUCCUUAGAUCUGAGACUAUCAUGGAAUCUUGUGCACAUGAACCCAUAUUUUGGUUCAUAUCU